rnacentral:snoRNA from 1 species
ACCUUCUUGUUUAAGCUCUCUACUAAAAUUCCAGAAACUAGUAUCAUGUCUUAGCAUUUGUAAUAAAGCUAUCAGAGAAAAGCCAAGAAGAAAAAAGAACUGUACCAGAUAGAAAAAUUGAGUUGAACCUUUUUUUUUAGACGGAGUCUCACUCUGUCACCCAGGCUGGAGUGUAGUGGCGCAAUCUCA